rnacentral:lncRNA from 1 species
AACUAGUUGGACUUUGGUUGUGUAAAUAUAUAAUAUGCUGGCCUUGUGGCUGUUAUGGUCUGUUAAAUGUUAGUUAUUUGCUAUUGCAUUAAAGGUGUGUGAAGAUUAAGGCUGCAUUAGUGUUGCUACUUGCUAAUUAUGGUUUCUUUGGUAUUCCAGGCUACCAGCAGCAAGUCAGCAAAGAAAUAGAGUUUGGGACAGGAAUAUGGAGGUAAGGAUAGUGCAGAAAAGAGAAGAAAAGAACUCCAACAAGUAAGUCACCAUUUUAACACUAAUGCAGCCUUGAUGCUUCCUUUAUUGUGUAUAAUAUAGUGUAUAUAUAAAGGUAUAUAUAUAUAUAGGUCAACCAGCUGAUAUGCCUAGACGACCAGGGACGACUAGGGGAUGACCAAGGUCGAUUAAUCUAUAUGGUCGCUGAUUAAUCGCGAUUAAUUGACUGGUUGGUCCUAGGUUGACCAAGAUCGACCAGCCAACCAGAAAACAUUGAAUGUGAGUUAUGUUUACUUAUAUGAGUACCAACCAUAAAUCUAGACUCACAUAUGGUACACAAAGGGCGUGAGCGCAUUUUGCAAAGUUAAAAAAAUAGGAAACUCAUAUUAUACUUUAUUUUUUUAUUUAUUAUAAGAAAAAGUGGGAGAAAAAGAGAAAAAAAGUCACCUAAUGGUGAGAAGAGGAAACGGAAAAAAGAAACAGGAAAGAGACAGAAACAACGGAUGCUUCACCGAAAAACACAGACAUAAUUUUUCGUAUUUGAUGGCC